AUGUACUACAACAUAGCGUUAAUACACCAGAUCCCAGUAGAACUCCGCAGUUAAGCGCGCUCAGGCUAGAGUAGUACUGGGAUGGGUGACCGCCCGGGAAGUCCCAGUGUUUUACAUG
rnacentral:rRNA from 1 species